rnacentral:rRNA from 1 species
GAUGAACGCUAGCGGCAGGCCUAAUACAUGCAAGUCGAACGGUAUCCAGAUCAAAGCUUGCUUUGGUCUGGUGAGAGUGGCGCACGGGUGCGUAACGCGUGAGCAACCUACCCUUGUCAGGGGGAUAGCCCGGCGAAAGUCGGAUUAAUACCGCAUGACAUCAUUGAGAGGCAUCUUUCGAUGAUCAAAGAUUUAUCGGACAAGGAUGGGCUCGCGUGACAUUAGCUCGUUGGUAAGGUAACGGCUUACCAAGGCUGCGAUGUCUAGGGGCUCUGAGAGGAGAAUCCCCCACACUGGUACUGAGACACGGACCAGACUCCUACGGGAGGCAGCAGUAAGGAAUAUUGGGCAAUGGACGGAAGUCUGAACCAGCCAUGCCGCGUGCAGGAGGACGGCCCUAUGGGUUGUAAACUGCUUUUAUACGGGAACAAACGUCGGUACGUGUACCGGUCUGAGUGUACCGUAAGAAUAAGGAUCGGCUAACUCCGUG